rnacentral:rRNA from 1 species
GGGUUGUGAGGUUAAGCGACUAAGCGUACACGGUGGAUGCCCUGGCAGUCAGAGGCGAUGAAGGACGUGCUAAUCUGCGAUAAGCGUCGGUAAGGUGAUAUGAACCGUUAUAACCGGCGAUUUCCGAAUGGGGAAACCCAGUGUGUUUCGACACACUAUCAUUAACUGAAUCCAUAGGUUAAUGAGGCGAACCGGGGGAACUGAAACAUCUAAGUACCCCGAGGAAAAGAAAUCAACCGAGAUUCCCCCAGUAGCGGCGAGCGAACGGGGAGCAGCCCAGAGCCUGAAUCAGUGUGUGUGUUAGUGGAAGCGUCUGGAAAGGCGCGCGAUACAGGGUGACAGCCCCGUACACAAAAAUGCACAUACUGUGAGCUCGAUGAGUAGGGCGGGACACGUGGUAUCCUGUCUGAAUAUGGGGGGACCAUCCUCCAAGGCUAAAUACUCCUGACUGACCGAUAGUGAACCAGUACCGUGAGGGAAAGGCGAAAAGAACCCCGGCGAGGGGAGUGAAAAAGAACCUGAAACCGUGUACGUACAAGCAGUGGGAGCACGCUUCGGCGUGUGACUGCGUACCUUUUGUAUAAUGGGUCAGCGACUUAUAUUCUGUAGCAAGGUUAACCGAAUAGGGGAGCCGAAGGGAAACCGAGUCUUAACUGGGCGUUAAGUUGCAGGGUAUAGACCCGAAACCCGGUGAUCUAGCCAUGGGCAGGUUGAAGGUUGGGUAACACUAACUGGAGGACCGAACCGACUAAUGU